rnacentral:rRNA from 1 species
AAAAGUUAUGUAAGGGCGUAUGGGGGAUGCCUAGGCUCUCAGAGGCGAAGAAGGACGUGAUAAGCUGCGAAAAGUUGCGGGGAUUGGCACAUACGAGUUGAUCCGCAAAUAUCCGAAUGGGGCAACCCAGUACAUUGAAGAUGUACUACACCUUAUAGGUGGGCAAACCUGCUGAACUGAAACAUCUUAGUAGGCAGAGGAGAAGAAAACAAAAGUGAUUCCCAGAGUAGUGGCGAGCGAAAUGGGAGCAGCCCAAACCCAUAUUGUUACGGCAAUAUGGGGGUAGUAGGACCCAGAUAUAGGUUGUAAAGCUGGAUUAGAAGUGUUUGGAAAGACACACCAUAGAGAGUGAAAGUCUCGUAUAGGUACAGUUUUAUAAAUCUUAUGGGUAUCCUGAGUAGGUCGGGGCACGUGGAACCUUGACUGAAUCCGCCGGGACCAUCCGGUAAGGCUAAAUACUCCUGAGAGACCGAUAGUGAACCAGUACCGUGAGGGAAAGGUGAAAAGAACCGUGAAUAACGGAGUGAAAAAGACCCUGAAACCAUACGCUUACAAGCGGUCGGAGCAGCGUCAGCUGUGACGGCGUGCCUUUUGCAUAAUGAGCCUACGAGUUACUGUUACCAGCGAGGAUAAGUAUUUCAGAUACGAAUCCGUAGCGAAAGCGAGUCUGAAUAGGGCGAUAAAUAGUUGGUAGUAGUAGACGCGAAACCUGGUGAGCUACCCUUGGGCAGGUUGAAGCGCUGGUAACACAGCGUGGAGGACCGAACUGGUUGUCGUUGAAAAGACUUCGGAUGACCUGAGGGUAGGGGUGAAAGGCCAAUCAAACUGGGAAAUAGCUCGUACUCCCCGAAAUGCAUUUAGGUGCAGCGUUGAUGCGAGUUUAAUAGAGGUAGAGCUACUGAUUGGAUGCGGGGGUUUCAUCGCCUACCAAUUCCUGACAAACUCCGAAUGCUAUUAAAUGCUCAUCAGCAGUGAGGGUAUGGGUGCUAAGGUCCAUAUCCUAAAGGGAAAGAACCCGGACCAUCAGCUAAGGUCCCCAAAUAUAUGCUAAGUUGACCAAACGCGGUCUGACUGCACUGACAGCUAGGAUGUUGGCUUGGAAGCAGCCAUACAUUUAAAGAGUGCGUAACAGCUCACUAGUCGAGCGGUUGGGCAUGGAUAAUAAACGGGCAUAAGCAUAUUACCGAAGCUAUGGGGUUAUACAUUAGUAUAUACCGGUAGGGGAGCAUUCUAUUGGCGUUGAAGCUAAAGGCGUGAGCCAUAGUGGAGCCUGAUAGAAAAGAAAAUGUAGGCAUAAGUAACGAUAAGGCAGGCGAGAAACCUGCCCGCCGAAAGAUCAAGGUUUCCUCAGCUAUGCUAAUCAGCUGAGGGUUAGUCGGGGACUAACGCGAACCCGAGUAGGGGUAGUGGAUGUACAAUAGGUUAAUAUUCCUAUACCAUUAGUCUGUUAAAAGUGACGGAAUGAGAUAACUACCGCGUACUGACGGAAUAGUACGUUUAAGGAGUUGUUAUGACUUCGAAAGUACGCUGAGGCUUCGGCCGAGGUGAGUGUGGUGACAACGUUUCCAAGAAAAGCGAAGGCUAAUGCCCGUACCGUAAACCGACACAGGUGAUUGGGAUGAGAAUUCUAAGGCGCUCGAGAGAUUCAUGGCUAAGGAACUAGGCAAAAUAGACCUGUAACUUAGGGAGAAAGGUCGCCUAUCAUUAGAUAGGCCGCAGUGAAAAGGUCCAAGCGACUGUUUAUCAAAAACACAGGACUCUGCAAAAUCGAAAGAUGAGGUAUAGGGUCUGACACCUGCCCGGUGCUGGAAGGUUAAGAGGAGAGCUUAGCAGCAAUGCGAAGGUUUGAAUUGAAGCCCCAGUAAACGGCGGCCGUAACUAUAACGGUCCUAAGGUAGCGAAAUUCCUUGUCGGGU